CACCCGAUAGCACAUGGUGUGUGCCUGCGCCGCUUGGUUUGGAGAACUGAAAUAGUGCAGGAGGUUCCCGUUCGAUUCGGGGUCGGGUGA